AUAUCAGUCAUGCAUAGCAUAUCAAUAAGCGGAGGAAAAGAAACUAACAAGGAUUCCCUUAGUAACGGCGAGUGAAGCGGGAAGAGCUCAAAUUUGAAAUCUUCAAGGUUUUACCUUGACGAAUUGUAGUUUAAAGAAGUGUUUUCUGUUGAAGUUUUGGUAAAAGUUCUUUGGAAUAGGACAUCAUAGAGGGUGAGAAUCCCGUAUUUGACCAUUACUUUCAGCUUUGUGAUACACUUUCAAAGAGUCGGAUUGUUUGGGAAUGCAGUCCAAAAUGGGUGGUAAAUUUCAUCUAAAGCUAAAUAUUGGCGAGAGACCGAUAGCGAACAAGUACCGUGAGGGAAAGAUGAAAAGAACUUUGAAAAGAGAGUUAAACAGUACGUGAAAUUGUCAAAAGGGGAAGCGUUUGACACCAGUGUUGUUUUCUCGAAAAUCAAUUAAAAAGAGUUGGAUUUUGUGUUGUAUUGACUUUAUCAGCUUUCUUCACUCUUUUCCAGCUUUUUUUAAUGCACUUUUCGUUUAACAAGUCAACAUCAGUUUCUUUUGUUGUAAAAAGGUCAUUGGAAGGUGGCUUUCUCUUCGGAGAAAGUGUUUAUAGCCUUUGACUCAUGCAAUCGGAGAGACUGAGGUCUGCAGCGUAGAUCCUUCGGGGUUAGAUACAUUUGUGCUAAGUUAUAGCUUUUCAUAGACAACUUGUUGACUAUGUUUAGUCUUGUAGCUUACUCGCUUAUGCUAUUUUACCUACGCUUAGGAUGUUGAACUCUAUCACACACAG
rnacentral:rRNA from 1 species